rfam:Myotis lucifugus cont2.17565, whole genome shotgun sequence.
GGUGGUUCUCAGGUGAUGCACCCUGGAAUCUGGCUCCCUCCUCUCUGGUUCUGGCUGUGUCACCUGAGAACCACA